rnacentral:rRNA from 1 species
AUACGUAGGGGACAAGCGUUAUCCGGAUUUACUGGGUGUAAAGGGAGCGUAGGCGGCCAGCCAAGUCAGAAGUGAAAUCCCACGGCUCAACUGUGGGCGUGCUUUUGAAACUGGAGGGCUUGAGUACUGGAGGGGCAAGCGGAAUUCCUGGUGUAGCGGUGAAAUGCAUAGAUAUCAGGAAGAACACCGGAGGCGAAGGCGGCUUGCUGGACAGAGACUGACGCUGAGGCUCGAAGGCGUGGGGAGCAAACAGGAUUAGAUGCCCAGGUAGUCCACGCGGUAAACGAUGAAUGCUAGGUAUUGGGCUCCAUAGGGGUUCGGUGCCGCAGUUAACGCAAUAAGCAUUCCACCUGGGGAGUACGUUCGCAAGAAUGAAACUCAAGUGAAUUGUCGGGG